ACCAGAACACGUCCGACGGUGAGGGAUGAAAGCUGGGGGAGCAAACCGGAUUAGAUACCCGGGUAGUCCCAGCUGUAAACUAUGCAAACUCAGUGAUGCAUUGGCUUGUGGCCAAUGCAGUGUUGCAGGGAAGCCGUUAAGUUUGCCGCCUGGGAAGUACGUACGCAAGUAUGAAACUUAAAGGAAUUGGCGGGGGAGCACCACAAGGGGUGAAGCCUGCGGUUCAAUUGGAGUCAACGCCAGAAAUCUUACCCGGAGAGACAGCAGAAUGAAGGUCAAGCUGAAGACUUUACCAGACAAGCUGAGAGGUGGUGCAUGGCCGUCGCCAGCUCGUGCCGUGAGAUGUCCUGUUAAGUCAGGUAACGAGCGAGAUCCCUGCCUCUAGUUGCCACCAUUACUCUCAGGAGUAGUGGGGCGAAUUAGCGGGACCGCCGCAGUUAAUGCGGAGGAAGGAAGGGGCCACGGCAGGUCAGUAUGCCCCGAAACUCUGGGGCCACACGCGGGCUGCAAUGGUAAUGACAACGGGUCCCGAAUCCGAAAGGAAGAGGUAAUCCUCAAACAUUACCACAGUUAUGACUGAGGGCUGCAACUCGCCCUCACGAAUAUGGAAUCCCUAGUAACUGCGUGUCAUUAUCGCGCGGUGAAUACGUCCCUGCUCCUUGCACACACCGCCCGU
rnacentral:rRNA from 1 species